UCAUGGAAGAAGAUAGGUGUGAAUCGUUUACCAAAUCGGAAGCUCUGAAAAUCUCCGGGUUCGGUGAGAUCCUCCGGAUGUCGGCAACGGUUCUCUUCGGCGAGCGAUUCUUCAGUGAGGUGAACUACUUUCCCUUUGCUUUUCCGUAAGUUUUUUAAGGUUUUUUUAGGAAUUUCUUGAUGUGUUCUUCUGGGUUUGAAAGAAAUUGAUUUGUUGUUCUUGGUGUUCGUUUUUAGGGUUUUAGGAAUAUUAAUGUGUUGUUCUUGGUUUUCAAGAAACAAAUCACUCUGUUCUCAUGUGUGUGUUUUGAGAAAAAUGCUCUGUUGUUGCUGUUAACUUUUUAGGGUUUUUAGAGAAAAUUAAUUUGUUGUUCUUGGUGUUGUGUUCUUAUGUGUCUUUUGUUGUUGUGUUCUUGCUGUGUGUUUUUUAGUCUUGAAAACUCUUUCUUUUUCGAUUUUCCCAUCCCAGAUUAUGUGGGAUUUAAUUUCUGUGGAUUUGUUCUGUUUUAAGUUAUUAUUGCAAUGCCUUUUUGGAUGUUCAAGUUAAACCUGCUGGGUAAAGUUUCAAACUGAGUAAUUUAUUUAGUUAUUUUUUAGUUUUUUAAGCGCUUUUGAAAAAUACUUUUUUAAAAUAAGCUGUUUUUUUCUUCUCUGCAGGUUAUAGGAAUGAAGUGACCUUGAUGGAAUGGAAAGUGGCGGUAAGAAAGCACACUUGGAGGCGCGCCCAAGUCCAAGGGGUUUUCAAUUUGAUUACUUGGUCUUGGUCAUUAGAAUUAGGAACAUGUUUUUGCAGGCAAAUUCCACUUAGUUAAAAUGUGUAUUUGGACUUAUCUGUAACUUAUUGAAUUAAAUCUAAUAGCCACUAAUAACUAUGUAUUCAACCUUUUAAGCUUUCAAAACUUAACUCAAUAUUUAUUCAUGCUAAUCAAUUUCAACUUUUAAAAAACAACACCCUUUUAACUAAUAUAGUGAUUUAAUUUAAAAACAACACAUAUUCUAAUUUAAACACAAAAAUUUAAAUAUGAGACUUUUAAUUAAAAACAACACAUGUUCUAUUUAAACACAAAAAUCUAAAUAUGGAACUUUUUAUUUAAAAAAAAAACCAUAUUCUAAUUUAACACAAAAAUCUAAAUAUGGAACUUUUAAUUUUAAAAACAACACAUAUUCUAAUUUAAACACAAAAAAUCUAAAUAUGGAACUUUUAAUUUAAAAACAAACACAUAUUCUAAUUUAAACACAAAAAAUCUAAAUAUGGAACUUUUAAUUUAAAAACAACACACAUAUUCUAAUUUAAACACACAAAAAUCUAAAUAUGGAACUUUUAAUUUUAAAACAAACAUUUCUAAUUUAAACACACAAAAAUCUAAAUAUGAGACUUUUAAUUUAAAAACAACACAUAUCUAAUUUAAACACAAAAAUCUAAAUAUGGGACUUUUAAUUUAAAAAAGAACAUAUAUUCUAAUUUAAACACAAAAAUCUAAAUAUAUGGGACUUUUAAUUUAAAAACAACACAUAUUCUAAUUUAAACACAAAAAUCUAAAUAUGAAAUUUUUUUAAUUUAAAAACAAACACAUACAUGCCUCAAAAAAAGCAAAUUUAGUUUGGGUACCUAUGAAGAACUUUAGAACUUGGCAUAAAUAUUUGGGAUGUGUAAAUGGACUAGUAAAUAGUGAUAUAGAAAUAAAUAACAUGGCUCUUAAUAAGUACUAAUGGACUAAUAAAAAUGGUUUUGGAUUAGUAAUGUAGAAAGAUUCAAACCACAUUUAUAGAUUAUGAACACACUAUGCAAAUGGACCUUUGAAACAAAGAGAUCUCAUGGGUAAACCACAAAUGGCCAGACAAAAUUGGGGUAAAUGCUAUUGAAUCCGCAGCUGUUGGGACACCAAUGCAACAACCUUAGGGCUAAAUGCAGACCUGCAAGUUUCAACACCACAUGUUAUUUGCCAUGCUGCAAACAACACCAAGAACCCAACAUGGCCUACUACAAUCAAUCAGAAACAUGAACCACAAUGCAACCAUUAUGCAAUAACACAUGAUCAAUCCUGUAAAACAAACUCAGUUCAAAGUGAAACAUAACUCAACUUAACAUUCAAGCAUCAUUCAUAACCUCACUAAUCAUAAUUGAAUUCGUGCCUAGCUAUUCAUAUGCCCUAACUAACAUUUCAUACCAAUUUAACUGCCUAGGGAUCCACACAAACCAAAAACUAAAUGGCUAACUAACUUACAUCGAUUCCACCAAUUUGCAAACUUCCAUAACAUAAUUGCACUAAUCCUAAUCUUAACAAACCUAUAAAUUCAUCCAUCAAUUAUUAUCUUCAUUCAAGCACAUUCGCCAAUCAUUCACUCUCACUCUGUCCAAUAAUUUUCAUUCUCAGACCCUAGAUUCAUUCAUAAUAUCAUUUCACAAACACUCAUCAUCAAAAAACUCAAAAAAUCUCCUUCAAACUCUCUCACUCUCAACAAACCUCACCUUCAACCUCAUCAAUGACAAUCAAUAACUUCAUUGUUCUCCAGUCAAUAACUUCAACAUCUCAACUGAAUCAAUCUCACACCACUCAAAUUCACUCAACAUUUCAUCUCUCGAAUUUCAAUCCAAUAUCAACCACACUCAGAGAAACUCAGAGGGGAAAAAAGAAGAACAAGAAGAAGAAGAGGAAUUCGAGAAUCAGGAUCUAGAGAGAGAGAGAUUCAAGACCUUACUUGGAAUUCUUUCGUCGAUGUCACCGUCGUCACCCCGACAAGGUGAAAUCUUGAAACCUCUCUUUUAUUCAAUUGCUUGUUUCUAGAAUGUAGAGGAUAUGGAUAAUAUUCAAAACCCCAAUCCCAGGGGCUUUGAUCUUCACAAAGAGAAUUUAAUUUAAGAUUGAGAUAUUAGGGUUCUUGAGGUCAUCGUUUCGGUUAGUUCCCUAGGUGUAGAAUCUGGAGAAUUUGAUAGGAGAUUCAUAAUGACCAGGUUGAGACAGAUGGAUUAAUGUCAUUAUUUUGAAUUUCUAGUGGCCACCGUCGCCGGAAGCAAUUCCCGGCGCGGUGGCCCACGGCGAUUUCAACUUGAGUUGACCUGAGUACAUCUUCUGACCCUGCACACGUUUUAAUUUCCAUUUAAAUUCAAUUUAAUUCCAGUGCUGUAAUUCCCCAUGACACAUUCACAUGCUGGUUCAAUUUCCAUGUGUUCAUCUUCAUCACAUUCAAUUGCAUAUCCUUGGUUUUCUGAUGGGCCUCAUGUGUGCAUGGGCCAAACCAGUUUCAAUAACCAUCAUCCUACAAUGCUUCUGAACCCCCCUGGCCAAAGAUAAAUUUUCAACGGGCUCAGCUCUAAGGCUCAUGCGCCUAUUUUGGGUUCUGCACCUAUUUUCCAAAUUGUAUACCCCUAACCUAUUUAUUUAUUUAUUCAUUUUCUUACUAUUUUCUUGAUAUUUUCUUGCUAUUUUAAUUCUUCUUUUUAAUAUGAUGAUUUUAAUUCUUGGUUAGAUUUUAAUUGUCAUUUUCACCAUGUUUAGGAAAUAAAAAAAUACAUGUUUGAUUGUUCAAUUAAUUGUCACUUAGGAUUUAAUAUGUUUAGAGGUUUGUGUUGUUAAUCACCAUUACAAAUCCCUUUGAAAAAAUAAUCAAUUCACCAUUUAAUUCUUGACUUUUUUUAUCCAUUAAAUCUUACUUUUGAUUAACAUUCUAGUUUAGGUUAAAAUUGAUCUUGCAUUUUAAUUCCAUAUGACAUUUUAAGUCCAUUUUUAAUUCAUUUAAUUUUGCAUUUUGAUUGUGGUUAAUGGAAUUAAAUUGAAAAUGUCAUUUCAAUUUAAAGUGAUGUAUGCUUGUAUGUCCAUUUCCCUUACCAUGAUCUUACUAUCAUCUUGUCAUCAUUUUAUCAUUUCAUGAUUCAUCUUAUUUGAUUUAUCAUUUACCAUUUAAUUCCCAUUUUUAUCCAUGUCUUUUAAUCCAUGCUAAUUCCUAUGUUUUGUGUUCACAUGUCAUUGAGAUUAAGUUGGAUCCAAGUUAUCAUGACCUCUAAUCCAUUCAUUAUGCCCUAUAUUGUGUGAGGGUACCAUGUCACAUGAUUAUUUAGACAUGGUACUUGGUUUGUAACUUGUUUAACUCCUAUUUCUUUUAUUUUGUGUUAUAUGGUUCCAUUCCCCCAUUGUGGUCAUAUGACCCCCAUCCCAUGCAAAUGUAAUAACUUAGGUUUAUUCUUUUAUAGGCUUAUCAUGCAUGCUAACUAAAAAGAUACAACCAAUGAUAAAAUAAACCUUUCAAAAGAUAAAGAAUACUUGAUUCAACGUCAAGUGUUUCCAAUCAAAUCAAAGUCACUUCAUAGAACACAAGUGUUUGAUCCGAAAGUCAAGUAUCUCUUAUCCAUUCACAUCAAUUCUCUCUCAUCUAUCUCUCUCCUCCAUUUCACACACAAUUUUCAAUGACAAAUCCAAACACUUGAUCCAAUGUCAAGUGGCAUUUUUCAAAACAAUUUCUCAACAAACUGGAAUGUGAGAAUGGGGUGUACGUGCUUGUACACAACAUUCAAGUACUUGGGUUGUCGGUCGUACCUAGCUUGAGGAUCCGACACUUGACUUCCCUCUUAAACAUCUAAUGAUCAAACAGGUUCAAUCUAGGUGCUAUGAGGGAGAAACAAGGUGGUUAGGAUACCAUUGUCCUAUCAACUCUCAAGUAUUCUAAUUGUUGGUCGUACUUUGUCAAGGGUCAUAUACUCGUCUCCCUCUAAGUACCAAUGAUUAAGCUUGCCAAACUUUUUCACAAUUCAAAUCUCUUUGGAUGAAAAAUAGUGGUUAGGAUACUAUGUCCUUUCAACUCCAAAGUAUUCAUAUUGUUGAUUGUAAUCUAGCCAAGGGUCUGAUAUUUAUCUUCGUACUAAAAUCAACCAACCAAUCAAAUCAAUUUUCUACUUAGGGAAUCUUUCAAACCUUUUCAAAAAAGGUGUGUUACUUUCGUUCUACCGUGAACCAUGCUUUAAGCCUCAAUGCGUGAGCAAGUAAUGUUUAACUGCUAGAAUGCUGACCCAAGCACAUCCAUGUCUACUGGCAACUAAAUAAACACUUAAAUGCUCUCAUGCUCGAGCAUACAAGAAGUGAAUAGUAAGCAUGUGAACAUCAACACUAUCAUAAAAAUAACCAAACAAAUACUCUGUUUGUGAAGCGGAACUAUAGAGCUCUGACUUCCUCGUUGCACGUAUGAGGGUACGUAGGCACAAGGGCCAAAUCCUUGGCAAGCACACUAAUUUAAACUUAUUUUCUCUCCCAUCUUAUUCUUAUUGCAUCUCAUUUCCCGAUAGCAACAACAUUCAGAUAAACAACAUCCCAUAUGCAUUGAUACAGGUAAAGUGUUUCCCAUCGAGAUGAUGUGGAUGUGAGGGUGGCUAAUAUCUUCCCCUUACAUAGUCGACUUCUGAAUCCACUCUUAGUUGUAAGACCAUUCUCUUUUAGGUUUUAUCGCUAUUUUCCAUUUGGAAUAAAUAAAAACCGGUGGCGAAUCUUUAUUUUUUGCGACGCGACAAAGCGACAGUAAAAUAAAAGAAAAUGAAUAAUUUUACAAUAUAAAAUAAACCUGAGUAUAUUUUAAUAAAGUUAAAAAAUAUUAAAAAUCAUAUUCCAUUCCCUCCAUCUGAAUCCCCCGAUUUAGAGGGACCCAUAAAGUGUGUUUUAGAGAAAUUUUGCUCCUCUCAUCUCCCUCCUCAUAAAAGGGAAAAGUACGAACAAACCCAAAGAAGUUUAAAACAAAACUAAAAAAAAGAUACGGGUCCGAGGGUUAAUUAUGCAAAGGGAAGGUAUUAGCACCCUAAACAUUCAUGGUACCCCAUGGGAACCUCUUUGAAAAUAUAUAUAUUGUUUGAAAAAGGUGUUGUUUGCAAAAAGAUUGGAGAGAUGGAAGAGAAGUAUGUUUUUUCUUAAUUUUUUGUGUUUGCCAAGACUUUUGAAGUCUCAUGCCCUACAUACCAACACAAGUCCAAUAGAGGAUUAAAACCUCGUAGUUCAUGGGUAAAAUAUAAAAGAAUGUUUGUUUUGAUUUAAUUUUAAAAUGAAAAAGACAUUUUAUCAUUUCAAGGAGAAUACUCAACUAGUCCACCCAACGAGUAUGAGAACUUUGCAUCAUCAUGAGAAGGCUCCAACUUGGAUAAAUCUAUAAGUAUGCCAUUAAUCUCUAGAUGGGAAGGAGUGUCCAUCAAUACUAUGGAGAUACAAUAAUUAUAUCCUCAACUAUUGAAAUGACUAUGUGUCAAACUCUUUGAAAAAAAAGUUUUAGGAAAAGUGCACAAAGGGCACAAAAUAAUUUGAAUGAGUUAUGCAUUUUUAAUUUCUUUUGAAAUUGGUCUGAAUAUACCUUAAUACAAUUAAGCAUUUAUAGGAAAGGGUUUUGAAAAUCACUUGACAAAAGUCAAGGUUUAUUGACAAAAAUGAUUCAAGUUUGAAAUCAAGAGAUUUUUUAAAAGAGAGAGAAGAUGUUGAAAUUAAAGAAAGGGAGGAGAAGAAGAGACUAUCAUAGAGCAUAAAGACAAAGCAGGGAGGAAAGAUCUAACCAAGAGAUAAUAGCUUUGACAUAAGUCAAGAAAAAAAUUCUCUCAUUUGGAUUAAGCCUCAAGCAAAUCAAAUAGCAAAGAAUAUAGCAUCAGAUGAAACCAAAAUAAUCUAAGCCGAUCUUCACAAAGAAAUCAAAGUCAGAUGAAUCUCAGAUCCAAAUCACAAUCUCCAAAGUAAGGGUCAACGGUCCCUAGCUCUAGUCAUAAAUCCUAAGAAUGUUACGGAUAGCAACCUCUAAUGUCAUGAAUCAAGGGAAACAAAACUUUUAGUUUUUUUCUUAUUAAGGUUUUUAGCAAGGAAAUGAAAGUCGAAAUGGACAAAGAAACAAUAAAGAGUAUAAAACAAUAUCGAUAUGAGAUCUCUAAAAUAACAGCAUAAGUAAAUAACAAGAAUUAAAUAACAGAAGUCCAAAUCUUGGACUCAAAUGUUUGAUCAAAGUCAUCUAUCAAAAUAAACAUCCAUUAUUGGUGAUUAGGGUUUUUCACUCAUUUAACACACAAUAUCCAUUGAGUUUGAUGAGACUGAUGUCCAAACCCAUCAUGAUCCACGAGCCAACAGAAGUCACAAAGGUCACACAUAAUAUAAAAAUAAAUAAAAAUCAAGCACAAAAGUAUAUUUAAAUGAAUGUAAAGGAGAUAAUAAAGUGAAAAAUCCCAUAGGUCUUCAAACAGCCAUAAUAAAAUGCCAAGAAAAUUAUGGAAGGUUCGAAAUAAAAAAUAAGAGUCAUAUAAAAAUUUUCAGAAUUAAAAAUGCAGAAAAUAUUGUUUUUAACCAAUAAAACAAAGGGAAAAGAGAAAUUCCAUGAGAAAUAGAAAUCAGUGAAACUAAAAUGAUGGACAAUUCCAAAAAUCAGAUGUAAGAAAAGUAAAAGAGAAUUUUAGAAAUUAUUUUGGAUGUUUUGGAUGUGAAAUGAAUUUUAUGAAUUAAAAAAAUGAAAUUAAAAUCAGAAAAGAACACGGAGCGCUGGAUCAAGCCUCAUUAAAUUGAACGUGGUUGACUCCAAACACUGCACAAGGCUGGGACCACGAUGGAGUUUAGCUGAAAUAAAACCACGAGAUUGCAUUUAAAUCUACUCUCAACAAAUAAUUUCACUUUGUCCAACGUGUCUCAACUCAAAUGACCUGAGAUACACUUCGUUGGUCCUCCACCGGAAGGUUCAUUGUUUGGUAAAUUCAGGAACAUGGACCACCACCAAUAUGCUCGCCGUUCUCAUCGAUGAAUUCAACCUAUGACUCACAGUUAUUUAUCUAAACUGAGCACGAGGAAUUUCCAGAGUUGUUUUCAGAAGUAGCAAAGCUACGAAAAAUGAAAUUAAACUGAUGAGCAGUGAUGCCCAUCAACAACCAGAUAAGUUAGGGGAAAGCAUCAGAGAGUGAAAAGACUGCCUUGUGGUAACUGCUUAGUUCCAAAUGGGUGUUCAGAACUACCUAUGUACAAAUGGUGAUCAGAAGUUGAUAGCUCGAUCUGGUUGACGCAACUUCAGAAGGUUCUCAGAGCUUGGAAUUUGUUGCAAAAGUUUCAGAGGAUGUCCGAAGAUGCUAAUGGACUCAAGAAAUUGGAUUGAAAAAAGUUGGACAUUUCAACACACGAUAGUUUGAAUUUACUGGAUAAACUUUCAGCCCUUGCAGUAAGGGUUUAUUGCUCUCAAAAGCUUGGAAAUGAAUACAAUUAAGCUCCGUAUUAUUUUAUAGGGAAUGUAAAUACGCGUGAAUCAAGGCUAAUUCGUGUUCAAGAACGAUUUGAUCAUGAAGUGAAAAAGUCUGACUUGUAACGCAUCAAACUCCGCCAAAUUAAUGUGUUUCAAGGGUCAAUUAACUUCUGCGGACUUGGUUAAAGCAUGUUAGGUCAAAUGCGUGCUAAUUUAUCUUGGAAAGUGAGAUAGUGAAGUUUACAUUUUUGGGCAAUGUGAUUUCUCAAGUUCCAAGUCACCAUGUNNNNNNNNNNNNNNNNNNNNNNNNNAUCAUUUUUAUUACUACUUAUUAAUUUAAUUAAAAUAAAAUAAGUUCGUUUAAACAGUCAAUUAAUUAAUUGCGUUAUAGAAAAGUAAUAUCAACAAUAGUAUAAUUAUGAUUUCGAAAAUAAAAUAAAAUGAUAUUAACAAUAGUAUAAUUAUGAUUUCGAAAAUAAAAUAAAAUGAUAUUAACAAUAGUAUUUGUUCUAUUCUAAACCGUGGGGGUGUGAACAAUCAGGGAACAUGGGCCUAAGAGCAGGAAAAACUCAUGAAGGGUCUGGUCAAACUUGUUGACCUAGGGGGCUUCAUCUUCUAAACGGUGACAAGUGUCCAAAGUUGGUGACACUUGUCACCGCCACCUCACCAAGCCAAACACGGUUUUAAAAAACAAAAAUAGAAAAAAUAAAUGGUCAUUCUUUAUUUUCCACUCUCUCUCUUCAAAUCAAAACCAAACGAAAGGGCUCUGUACAGAGCGCCUCCCUCUGCAAACCCUAAAGCUCCUCUCUCUUAGAGAGGACGACUGGAGACGGCGGCUCACGGCGGAGCCUCCGCUCUCCUUCGUCGCUUCAUUCUCUCCCGUUCCUAACUCUGAUUCAUGAACCAACCCUCUUUCUCCUUCUCAUAAUUUCGAGACACACAAUAUAAAAUCAUGCGAAAACAAACUCAAUCAAAAUAUCUACAAAAAAGGGAAACUCAUGGAAGAAGAUAGGUGUGAAUCGUUUACCAAAUCGGAAGCUCUGAAAAUCUCCGGGUUCGGUGAGAUCCUCCGGAUGUCGGCAACGGUUCUCUUCGGCGAGCGAUUCUUCAGUGAGGUGAACUACUUUCCCUUUGCUUUUCCGUAAGUUUUUAAGGUUUUUUUAGGAAUUUCUUGAUGUGUUCUUCUGGGUUUGAAAGAAAUUGAUUUGUUGUUCUUGUGUUCGUUUUUAGGGUUUUUAGGAAUAUUAAUGUGUUGUUCUUGCAAAAGUUCUUUGUUUAGUGAGACAAGAGUACACACACAAAGAGAAAAAUGCUCUGUUGUUGCUGUUAACUUUUUAGGGUUUUUAGAGAAAAUUAAUUUGUUGUUCUUGGUGUUGUGUUCUUAUGUGUCUUUUUGUUGUUGUGUUCUUGCUGUGUGUUUUUUUAAGUCUUGAAAACUCCUUUCUUUUUCGAUUUUCCCAUCCCAGAUUAUGUGGGAUUUAAUUUCUGUGGAUUUGUUCUGUUUUAAGUUAUUAUUGCAAUGCCUUUUUGGAUGUUCAAGUUAACCUGCUGGGUAAAGUUUCAAACUGAGUAAUUUAUUUAGUUAUUUUUUAGUUUUUUAAGCGCUUUUGAAAAAUACUUUUUUAAAUAAGCUGUUUUUUCUUCUCUGCAGGUUAUAGGAAUGAAGUGACCUUGAUGGAAUGGAAAAGUGGCGGUAAGAAAGCACACUUGGAGGCGCGCCCAAGUCCAAGGGGUUUUCAAUUUGAUUACUUGGUCUUGGUCAUUAGAAUUAGGAACAUGUUUUUGCAGCAAAUUCCACUUAGUUAAAAUGUGUAUUUGGACUUAUCUGUAACUUAUUGAAUUAAAUCUAAUAGCCACUAAUAACUAUGUAUUCAACCUUUUAAGCUUUCAAAACUUAACUCAAUAUUUAUUCAUGCUAAUCAAUUUCAACUUUUAAAAACAAC
rnacentral:lncRNA from 1 species